AAAAAGGCAAACCGUGGGUUUCCGUGCCAACGUUUGACUGUCCAUCUUAUAUGAAAAUUUUUUAUAAUUAGUAUUUUUAUUGUUGUUAGAUGAUAAAACAUGAUUAAUACUUUAUGCGUGACUUAUCUUUUUAAAUUUUUUUUAUAAUUUAUUCAAAUAAGACGGACGGUUAAACGUUAGACACGGAAACCAGGGUUUGUCUUUUU
rfam:Oryza sativa Japonica Group DNA, chromosome 10, cultivar: Nipponbare, complete sequence.